GGAGAAUGAAUUUAAUGGCUCUCAAACACCAGAAUCCCGCCUUCAGUGCUGAAUUUUAAAUCACAGCCCAGCGCUAUGGUUAGGCGCAAGAUUCCAGAGUCAAACAAUGUGAAUCCAAAUGCUGACCAGAUCCUCCCUGUGUGACCGGGGUUUUUCUCAGGCCUUCUGUCUUGGGACCUCCCCUCAUCUGACCUCUUACAUGCCCAGGAUUACCUCCUGGCCUGCUCUACUCACUCCCAGGGAACUGCAUGCAGACUGCUGCUGUGGGGGCAGCUGCCCCCCUCAUUACCCCCAGAGGAGAGGCCCCACAGUGGUAAGGGGUAGUCCCCCUGGGCCUUUGAAGCCUGGGGAGGGGAGGGGCUGCCCUGUACUCCUAACCUGGGGGAAACAGGCUCAGUCCCCCACCUCCCACCGUGCAAGUAGAGCA